UCAAUUUUAAUCAGUAGUUCUGUCCUACUUUGUCUAAUUGAAAAAGUAAGUUCUAUAUCAGACCUGAGCACCUAAUCGUGGCUGAACAUGGGAGACAAAGAAAUAGGAGGAGAUCAUCUGAAUUAAUUAAAAACAAGU